UGGGGAAUAUUGGGCAAUGGGCGCAAGCCUGACCCAGCAACGCCGCGUGAAGGAAGAAGGCUUUCGGGUUGUAAACUUCUUUUGUCAGGGACGAAACAAAUGACGGUACCUGACGAAUAAGCCACGGCUAACUACGUGCCAGCAGCCGCGGUAAUACGUAGGUGGCAAGCGUUAUCCGGAUUUACUGGGUGUAAAGGGCGUGUAGGCGGGAUUGCAAGUCAGAUGUGAAAACUGGGGGCUCAACCUCCAGCCUGCAUUUGAAACUGUAGUUCUUGAGUGCUGGAGAGGCAAUCGGAAUUCCGUGUGUAGCGGUGAAAUGCGUAGAUAUACGGAGGAACACCAGUGGCGAAGGCGGAUUGCCGGACAGUAACUGACGCUGAGGCGCGAAAGCGUGGGGAGCAAACAGGAUUAGAUACC
rnacentral:rRNA from 1 species